AACGAACGCUGGCGGCAGGCCUAACACAUGCAAGUCGAGCGCGCCCUUCGGGGUGAGCGGCGGACGGGUUAGUAACGCGUGGGAAUAUGCCCAAAGGUACGGAAUAGCCUCUGGAAACGGAGAGUAAUACCGUAUGUGCCCUUCGGGGGAAAGAUUUAUCGCCUUUGGAUUAGCCCGCGUUAGAUUAGGUAGUUGGUGGGGUAAUGGCCUACCAAGCCUACGAUCUAUAGCUGGUUUUAGAGGAUGAUCAGCCACACUGGGACUGAGACACGGCCCAGACUCCUACGGGAGGCAGCAGUGGGGAAUCUUAGACAAUGGGGGCAACCCUGAUCUAGCCAUGCCGCGUGUGUGAUGAAGGCCUUAGGGUCUAAAGCACUUUCGCCAGAGAUGAUAAUGACAGUAUCUGGUAAAGAAACCCCGGCUAACUCCGUGCCAGCAGCCGCGGUAAU
rnacentral:rRNA from 1 species